rnacentral:rRNA from 1 species
CGCGUAGGCGGCUCCUCAAGUCGGGGGUGAAAUCCUCUCGCUUAACGAGAGAAUUGCCUCCGAUACUGGGGAGCUGGAGGGGGAUAGGGGUGCGCGGAACUUCCGGUGGAGCGGUGAAAUGCGUAGAUAUCGGAAGGAACGCCGGUGGCGAAAGCGGCGCACUGGAUCCCCACUGACGCUGAGGCGCGAAAGCCAGGGGAGCAAACG